AUGAGUCUGUUAAUGUGGAACUACCGGGGGGACCGCCGGACACUUCGUGAGGUUUUGGCCCUCUCAAAAGCCAAUUCCCCGGGGCUGAUUUUUCUUUCGGAAACACGUCAAGCCUCAAGUAAGAUGGAGAGACUAAAGUGGAGACUACAAAUGAAGGGUUUCAUGAGUGUAUCUAGUGAUGGCCGCAGUGGGGGGCUUGCUCUCUAC
rnacentral:rRNA from 1 species